rnacentral:rRNA from 1 species
GACGAACGCUGGCGGCGUGCCUAAUACAUGCAAGUCGAGCGGACCCUUCGGGGUUAGCGGCGGACGGGUGAGUAACACGUGGGUAAUCUGCCCAACUGACUGGAAUAACGCCUGGAAACGGGUGCUAAUGCCGGAUAGGCAACUGGUAGGCAUCUACCGGUUGGGAAAGGUGCAACUGCACCGCAGAUGGAGGAGCCCGCGGCGCAUUAGCUAGUUGGUGGGGUAACGGCCUACCAAGGCGACGAUGCGUAGCCGACCUGAGAGGGUGGACGGCCACACUGGGACUGAGACACGGCCCAGACUCCUACGGGAGGCAGCAGUAGGGAAUCUUCCGCAAUGGGCGCAAGCCUGACGGAGCAACGCCGCGUGAGCGAAGAAGGCCUUCGGGUUGUAAAGCUCAGUCACUCGGGAAGAGCGGACGAGGGAGUGGAAAGCCCUCGUCGAGACGGUACCGAGAGAGGAAGCCCCGGCUAACUACGUG